rnacentral:rRNA from 1 species
AUUGAACGCUGGCGGCAUGCCUAACACAUGCAAGUAGAACGAGUGGCGGACGGGUGAAUAAUGUAUGGGACAGUGCCCAGUGGGGGGGGAUAACUACUGGAAAGAGUGGCUAAUACCGCAUACCAUCGGAGUGGGCGAGAUGGGAUUGGCUAGUGGGUGGGGUAAAGGCUAACCAAGGCAACGUUCCCUAGCUGGUGUGAGAGGAGGACCAGCCACACUGGGACUGAGACACGUCCAAGACUCCUAGGGGAGGAAGCAGUGGGGAAUUUUGGACAAUGGGGGAAAGCCUGAUGCAGCCAUCCCGCGUGUAUGAUGAAGGCCUUCGGGUUGUAAAGUACUUUCGGCGGGGAGGCGGUAUCUGUAGAAUAAGCAACGGCUAACUACGUGCCAGCAGCCGCGGUAAUUC